CUUGCUACACAAAGCCAAUACAGGCAUUAUGUAGUGGGAGGAGAUCACUAGUAUACAGGGGGCCUGGAUUCACUUCUCAGCAUCUUCGUUUCAGGAGGACUUGGGUUCUGUCUUGUCUGUCUGUACAAACAGCCAUCAGCUGAGGCAGAGGUGGGCUACCAAGCAGUGUGGGGGUGAUUUGUUGCCCACCUGCUUUUUCUUUCUGUCUUGGGUGAUUUACAUGAGCAGAAUAGCUUCCACAAGAGGGAGUUUCAUUUCGGAACAUCCUUGGGCCUCACUUCUACAACGCUUGCGUGAAUCUAAUCCUUGUUUGUUUUGGUUAAAGCUUCUCUACAGGCUUCAUCAGGAGGCAGGAAUGCGUCUCAUUCUGUUGUCGGUGAGGUAGCUUAAGGCGCUCCUCAGACAGGUAGUCUGAAAUGCGGUCUCUUGAGUUCUGUUGUACCACCUAGAUCAUGCCGCCUGCUGAAGUCUCUUGUGGCGUUCAUGUUUCUACUGCAGAUUUCCUUAACGAUAAGGAAGGUGGGUCACUUCUUACCAGGUUCAGUAAUUUCAUAGUAAGUUUCUUUAGCCAAGAGAGCUUAGGAGUCAUAAUGAGGGGAACUAGCUAUACAUCUGAUAUUACUUGAGUAAUGCAUUAUAGUCUUUUUCUGAUGUGAAACUACUGGAAUGGAAACACCUAGUUAAAAAGAAGAAGCGGAAGAGGCCUAUGGUAGGCUUCCGUCAGAUUUUACAGAGCCAUAUAGACAAAUAAGGACAGAAUUACUGCAGUGAAGGAGUGUGGUCAUCUUGAAUUACACAUAGGUAAAUGCUGUCAAGGUCAGAAACGCGUGGUUGAUCUCUGGCCCGGCGUGCCUUUCAGGAGGCUGAGAACAUUGCCCACAGGCAGCUGAACUGCUUGCUGGGAGUCUGAAGGAGGCACUUGCAGAGGUCAGCAUCCUCGCCUGCUCAGGCCUGUCUUCUCUGGCUACUUUUCCAGUUGAUGGUAGGACUGGCUGGAAUUGUUCUCUGGAGGUUUCCGUGGCUUCCUGCUGACUAUAGAAGGAGCUUUUGAAGACAAGCUGUUUACUACCAUAAAGCCUGCCUGAGCAGAUUCCACAGUUUCCCCCGCUUGCCUCUUUCUUUGCCACAACAUGCUUGAUUGGGCCAUGAUUCUUUUCCAUCAUCAGUCUUAUCCUAAAUAGUUGGGAAUCUGAUUAGCCGCAGAGAAGCAUUAUCCCUGCUUUACAGAUAGGAAACCAAAGUUUAGCCAUGCUCUGAGGAUAUCCGCCCCUGUUAGGUGUCAUUUGACGUUGGCCAGGACUGAAAGCACCACUAACAAGGAAGAUGUAGAUUCUUUUAUGAAACAGCCUGGAAAUGAGACAGCAGAUGUAGUUCUUAAGAAGUUGGAUGAGCAGUAUCAGAAGUAUAAAUUUUUGGAACUUAAUCUUGCUCAAAAGAAAAGGAGGCUAAAAAGUCAGAUUCCUGAAAUUAAACAGACAUUAGAAAUUUUAAAACACAUGCAGAAGAAAAAGGAUUCCACAAAUCCAAUGGAAACCAGAUUUUUAUUGGCAGAUAAUCUCUACUGCAAAGCUUCAGUUCCUCCUACAGAUAAAGUUUGUUUGUGGUUGGGGGCCAAUGUGAUGCUUGAAUAUGAUAUUGAUGAAGCUCAGGCUCUGUUAGAGAAGAAUUUGUCAACAGCCACAAGAAACCUUGAUCUUCUAGAGGAAGACCUGGAUUUUCUUAGAGAUCAGUUCACCACUACAGAAGUCAAUAUGGCUAGAGUUUAUAAUUGGGAUGUAAAGAGAAGAAACAAGCAAGACCCUUCCAAAAACAAAGCAUAGUUUUGCCAAUUUUAAACGUGGUUUCAAUUUCCAAAUAUUUUUUAUUUAAACACCCCCCAAGUUCAUUCUUAAGGGACUGAGUUACUUUAAGCAUUUCAGUAAAUGGUAAAAUAUAUAAAAACUAAUGGUGAGCACCAUUUUAUUUAUUUGUAAACUCGAAAUUUGGUUUCAUGCAUGCUUCAUGAAAUGAAUUACUUGAAAAGGCACCACACAGUCCAGCAAAGGACAUAGUAUUUUGAUCAGACCAGUCUGUCAUAAAUAAAUUUCUACCUGAAAGCUUGUCUGAAAAGUCAAGGGGCAUGUAUGAUAUGGAGUCUGACAUUUUAGCAGGUUUAGGUAAAGCAGGGGUUUACGUUUUCGUCUGUGUACGGCUGAUGAAGUUAAAGUCAGCUUGGGCUGGGAAGACAUGCAGCUGUAAUGUUCUAGGAAGCAGAAAGAAUACAGUGAAGUCUUGGAUUUUGUUUCAGUCAGUUAAUUGGCAGCAUCAACCUGCAAGCAUUCCUGGAUAUCCGCUUUGGAUAAACUUGUUUUUAAUAGCUACUGGUUAGUUAACUGCCUGUUACUGAACUCUCAGCACUUUACAUACAGCAGUUUGCGACUUGUCUUCAGAGAAGAGUGGUAAAUGGAGUAAACAGCACAAGCUAUGUCAAGACUACAGUUGGGGGCAGGAGGGUGAAAAAACUCAGCUGAAGCAGCAGACAUGAAAAGAGUAGCUGCUGAAUACUGCCUUCAGUGAAAUGGGGAGUGCAAGUCAGUGCAUCUGAAUUUGUGAAUACGAGCAAGUGAUUUGACAGCACUGUGGCUGUAGAAGAGUUAAGAGCUGCAGGGAUAGGCAUAAAAAAGAGUAAAAGAGCUCCUGACCUUUAUCCUGUGAAAGGUAUCACCUUCUGAUUUCUCUAAGUCCCUCUUGCACUAGAAGUCAAAGC